UGUAGGUAGAAAGUGUCCAAGAAGAAAGCUCAGAUCUGCAGACAGCAGGUAUGCUACCUGGGAUUCACUAUUCGGAAAGGGGAGCGCAGCCUGGAGUCAGGAAGAAAGCAGGUCAUCUGCAGCCUACUGGAACCUAAAACCAGAAGGCAAGUAAGGGAAUUCCUACGAGCUGUAAGGUUUUACAGAUUAUGGAUUCCAAACUUUGCAGUACUAGCCCAACCUUUGUACGGGGCUACAAAGGGGGGCGACCGGUAACUUUUAAAUGGGAGCCUCUACAAGAGCUAGUCUUUUGUAAGUUAAAGGAAAAACUUACGUUGGCCUGUGCCCUAGGACUACCAGAUUUGACAAAGCCCUUUACACUCUAUGUGUCAAAAAGAAAAAAAAUGGCAGUUACAGUUUUAACCGACUGUGGGGCCCUGGCCAAGACCAGUGGCCUAUCUCUCAAAACAACUAGAUGGGGUUUCCAAAGGCCGGCCACCAUGUCUAAGGGCCCUGGCAGCAACGGCCCUGUUAGCACAAGAAGCAGAUAAACUAACCCUUGGGCAAAAGCUGAAUAUAAAAGCCCCCCAUGCUGUGGUAACCUUGAUGAAUACCAAAGGACAUCAUUGGCUAACAAAUGCUAAAUUAACCAAGUACCAAAGCUUGCUUUGUGAAAAUCCCCAGAUAACAAUUGAAGUCUGUAACAACCUAAAUCCCACCACCCUGUUCCCAUUAUCAGAAAGGCUGGUUGAGCAUAACUGUGUAGAGGUGUUGGGCUCAGUCUAUUCUAGCAGACCUGACCUUCAGGACCAGCCAUGGGCAUCUCAGUAGACUGGGAGUUAUAUGUAGAUGGGAGCAGCUUCAUCAACCCACAAGAUGAAAGAUGUGCAGGAUAUGUGGUGGUAACUUUGGAUGCUGUCAUUGAAGCCAAACCAUUGCCACAGGGCACUUCAGCCCAGAAGGCUGAGCUCAUUGCUUUAACUCAGAUUCUAGAACUCAGUAAAAGUAAGACUGUAAACAUCUACACUGACUCUCGAUAUGCCUUUCUAAUUCUCAAGUGCAUGGAGCAUUAUACAAGAAAAAGGGCCUGUUAAACCCUGGGGGAAAGGACAUAAAAUAUCAACAAGAAAUUCUACAAUUAUUAGAGGCAGUGUAAAAACCUCAAAAGGUGGCAGUCAUGCACUACAGGGGACACCAGCGAGCCUCCACCUCAGUGGCCCUAGGAAACUCUCGAGCUAAUUCAGAAGCUCGAAAAGCAGCAUCUACCCCUUACUGGGCAUCGGUAGCAGCCCCAUUACUCCCUCAAACACCUGACCUGGUACCUACCUAUUCUAAGGAAGAAAAAGACUUUUUCCAUGCAGAAAGGGGGCAAGUAAUAAAAGGAGGAUAGAUCAGACUGCCAGAUAGGAAGGUAGCUGUGCCACAGUUUCUGGGAGCCACAAUCGUAUUGGCCGUGCACAAAACUACUCAUCUAAGGUCAAGAGUCACUUAAAAAGUUGUUAGGCCAGUACUUCUACAUCUCACAUUUGCCAGCCCUUGCCAAAGCAGUAGCACAACAGUGCGUUACUUGCCAACAGCACAAUGUGAGGCAAAGCCCCACUGUUCCACCUGGCACACAAGCUUAUGGAGCAGCUCCUUUUGAGGAUCUUCAGGUAAAUUUCACAGAAAUGCCAAAAUGUGGAGGUAACAAGUAUUUGCUGGUUCUUGUGUGUACUUACUCUAGGUAGGUGGAGGCUGAUCCAACACAAACUAAAAAGGCCUAUGAAGUAACCCGUGUGCUUCUCUGAGAUCUUAUUCCUAGGUUUAGACUGCCCUUACGAAUCGGCUCAGGUAACAGGUUUGUGAGCGACUUGGUACAGAAAACAGCAAAGGCAUUAGGAAUCACUUGGAAGCUACAUGCCGCCUACCGACCUCAGAGUUCCGGAAAGGUGGAGUGAAUGAAUCGGACUAUCAAAAAUAGUUUUAAAAAAGUAUGUCAGAAAACAGGAUUAAAAUAGAUACAGGCCCUUCCUAUGGUAUUGUUUAAAAUUAAAUGCACUCCUUCUAAGAAAACAGAAUACUCCCCUUAUGAAAUACUGUAUCAUAGGCCUCCUCCUAUACUACAGAGACUUCCAGGCACUCCCCGAGAGUUAGGUGAAAUUGAAUUACAGUGACAGCUACAGGCUUUAAGAAAAAUUACACAAACAAUCUCAACUUAGGUAAAUAAGAGGUGUCCCAUCAGCUUAUUCUCCCCAGUUCAUCCUUUCUUUCCAGGUGAUCGCGUGUGGAUCAAGGACUGGAACGUAGCCCCUUUACAGCCACCGUGGAAAGGACCUCAAACCAUCAUCCUGACCACCCCCACGGCUGUAAAGGUAGAAGGAAUCCCAGCCUGGAUCCACAACAGCCAUGUGAAACCUACAGCCACUGAAAACUAGGAGACAAAACCGAGCCUGGACAAGCCCUGCAAAGUGACUCUGAGGAGGACGACAAGCCCUGCUCCAGUCACAUCCAGAAGCUGACUGGUCUACGCACGGCUGAAGCAUGAGGAGAAUCAUCGUAAAACUCAUUUUCCUUAUAAUUUGGACUUGUAUAGUAAAAACUUCCACUGAUUUUCCCCGCAUGAAAGACUACUCUUAGUGUAUACAUCAGGUUACUGAGAUUCUUGGCCUUCCCACCCUACCCCGCAUGAUACAGAUACACUUUUAGGCAUCUGCAAUGGAUACGCUUGCUCCAGCCAAAGGGUAUUGAAAAAAGCAUGAACAGCUAAUAUGAAUGUCAAAAGGAAGUAACUUCAUCAACUGAAGAAUCUGGCCUGCAUAUCACUGGGCAUCAGGGCAUCUUUAUUGAAGAAGGCACAAAACCCUGGAAGCAUAAAUCGCCACAAGCAUUUAAAACCUGAACAUGCGAUAAAUAAAUCAACCUUAAAGGCCAUGUGGCGGGGAGCUCUUUACUCACCACUGUGACGUUGAAAGCAUACAGAAGAUCAAAAGGCAGGGCAGCGAUUAAAUCAAUGAUGAACCAGGUUGUGACAUAGUGGAUGCAAAUUGAUCUUGCUUCAAAGAUAACUUGGCCAGACUUGCUGACAUAAGUUGUUCGGAAAUUUAAAAUAAUAUCUGCUUGGGAAAAAAAAGGUUGAGAAAUAAAAGGAAGAGACAGAGAAGAAUAAAGAAGGUAGGAAGGACAAUGAAAGAAAGAAGAAAGGAAGGGAGACAGGCAGGCAAACAAGCAGGAAGGAAGGGAGGAAGAAAAUCGUAGAAAAUUAAAUAAAAUUAGGCAAAUGGCAACCACUUAGCCUAGUUCAGAUUGAUAAUAUCCAAAAUAUUCUCCUCUACAGAUCCAGUUCAACUAAACAGAUACUGAAGAAGGGUGAAAGUAAUAUUUUCUGAGCACAUAAUGUUCCAGACAUGAAGCUACAUGUUAAGAUUAUUAAAAUAAAUAAUCGUAGCAAUAGCAACAAUAGUCAUCACUUACUAAGUGUUCACUAUGUACCCAAUAUUGUUCUAAGAGCUUGGCAUAGGAUAUUUCACUUAAUCCUCAGUACAUCUCCUGAAGUAGACAGUGUUACUCUGAUUAAAGAGUCAGAAAUCAAGUCCCAGGAAGAAAAAGUAAUUCAUCCAAGAUCAUAUUGCCAAGAGUGGCAGAGUCAAGUUUUAAUACAGAUACAAGCCGGGCAUGGUGGCUCAUGCCUGUAAUCCCAGCACUUUGGAAGGACGAAGCAAAAGAAUUGCCCGAGCUCAGAAGUUCAGGAUGAGUCUGGGCAACAAAACGAGAACUCAUCUCUAUUAAAAUUCAAAAAAAAUUAGCUGGGCAUACUGGCACAUGUCUGUAGUCCCAGUUACUCCAGAGACUGAGGUGGAAGAAUCACUUGAGCCCAGGAAGUUGAGGCUUCAGUGAGCCAUGAUUGCACCAUGCACUCCAGCCUGGGCAACAGAGUGAGACCCUGUUUCAAAAACAAAAACAAAAAACCCACUAAAUAUAAUCUGAAAUCUAUAUUCCUUAUUUUAUAUAAUAUUACUUAUUUCCAUGUAUAAAAGUUUUACUAAUCUCUGUGUCGAUAUGGAAUUCAGCCCUGCCCUGAAGGCACUCCUAUUAACAAAGUACUGGUAGUUUCUUGUGUGAAUUUCUGGGUUAAAUUCUAUUUUAAUGAAAGAUGUAAUUGUUUUCAAUCUUUCCCUGCAUCAUUAUUUAGUUAUAUAUUAUCGAGCGUUUUACAAUAUAUGAGGUCCUCCUGAGUGCUGAUCAAAUGACAUCCGUGUGAGUUUCCAACAGCCCUAUGAGCUUGAAAGAAGACCCUGAGCAGGAGAAAGGAACACAACUCAGCUGAUAUUUUGAUGUCAGCCUUUUGAAUUCCUGAUCGGAGGAUCCAACUAAGCCAUCCCUGGACUUUUGACAUAUAGCAACUGUAAGACAGUAAAUGGAUGUUGUUUUAAGUUGAUAAGUUUGCUAUGCAGCAAUAAAAACUGAAACAAUA